rnacentral:lncRNA from 1 species
CAAAAGUUAGCUCCCAAGAAUAGCCUUCCGAGCUAUAAAGUACUCUAUGUCAUUAAUUAAAUGAAAAGAUUAAAGAAAAUCAAGCCACGCCAAUUCUGGAUGAUUAAGAUUAUCACGAUCAUAAUCUCAGGCUAAUGUCUCCUUGCAUGCUAUCACCAGGACACGCCAUAUGUGUUAGGUAACGAAUCAGAAUUCUUUGUUAAGCCAAAUUAUGGAUUGUUAAUAGAGAUUUUAUGCUUAAUUUAAAAGUGUUGCUUAUGCAUAGAUUACCCAAAGAAGUUACAUACGUGUUAUUGUUGACCA